rnacentral:tRNA from 2 species
AGGCUCGUAGCUCAGUUGGUUAGAGCACUACCUUGACAUGGUAGGGGUCGUUGGUUCGAAUCCAAUCGAGCCUACCA